CUCCGCCCUCGCCCCGCCCCGCGCGCGCGGCGGCCGCUUCCGGUGCGGUAAUGGCGGCGGUGGUGCCGCGACUCCGGUGGUGGUCGAGCUCAGAUCUCGUCCUUCGCUCACCAGUCGCCCGACGGCAAGAUAAUAAGUUGUGUGGAAGGCUUGCUAGGCCUGAAAGCUGGUCAAGGGCACACCAAUCUCACAGGCCAAAUGCGGAUCAGUGGAAAAGAGGUAUGUCAAGGUUUCCUGGCUGCAGAUUUUAGUUAUCAGGCCCACACAGCUGCAUCUGCAGGAACAAAGUUCCUUUUGUGUAGAUGCUCCUUUGCCAUAUCAGACCCCUUCAUGGUACAAUUUAGAGGUGUGCUAAAUCUAUACAAGCCUUAAUACUUAAUUGUAAGUCAGAGUCCAUAUAGAUAGGAGGCUGAACUCUGUUGCUCUGUGUUCCCUCCUAUAUCUGUAAACUGCUUCUGCCUGACCUGAAUCUUCAAAAUAGACUGUUCCUGAAAAUUCCUGCAUCAGGGGUAGGGUGGUGGUGGGGAGCAGGGGAUGAAAUGGAGAAAACUGGUGUAUUUGUUUUCCCCUUUGUUGGCUAUAAGGGACGUUUCUUUUUCUUAUUUGUGUUUAAGUAUGUGUGUUUAUGCUUUCAUAAAAGUAACCAUUUCCUACAAUUUAGAUUUCUGUUUGCUGCAUAACAGCAAGAGGAUCAAGAAAAAUAAAGGUUAAAAUGGUGUCA
rnacentral:lncRNA from 1 species